rnacentral:rRNA from 1 species
AUUGAACGCUGGCGGCAGGCCUAAUACAUGCAAGUCGAACGAGUGGCGGACGGGUGAGUAAUGCUUGGGAAACUGGCUGAUGGAGGGGGAUAACUACUGGAAACUGUAGCUAAUACCGCAUACCAUCGGAUGAGCCCAAGUGGGAUUAGGUAGUAGGUGGGGUAACGGCUCACCAAGCCGACGAUCCCUAGCUGGUCUGAGAGGAUGACCCGCCACACUGGGACUGAGACACGGUCCAGACUCCUACGGGAGGCAGCAGUGGGGAAUAUUGCACAAUGGGGGCAACCCUGACGCAGCCAUGCCGCGUGAAUGAAGAAGGCCUUCGGGUUGUAAAGUUCUUUCGGCGGGGAGGCGUUACCUACAGAAGAAGCACCGGCUAACUCCGUGCCAGCAGCCGCGGUAAUAC